GACAGAGGUGCCAAGCGUUAGGCGGAAUCACUGGGCUUAAAGCGUGUGUAGGCGGGCGAUCAAGUACCUUGUGAAAUCCCACGGCUCAACCGUGGAACUGCUGGGUAUACUGGUUGUCUUGAGCCAGCUAGGGGCGAGCGGAACAGACGGUGGAGCGGUGAAAUGCGUAGAGAUCCGGAAGAACACCGGUGGCGAAGGCGGCCUGCUGGGCUAUGGCUGACACUGAGGCGCGACAGCGUGGGGAGCAAACAGG
rnacentral:rRNA from 1 species